rnacentral:rRNA from 1 species
AUUGAACGCUGGCGGCAGGCCUAACACAUGCAAGUCGAACGAGUGGCGGACGGGUGAGUAAUGUCUGGGAAACUGCCCGAUGGAGGGGGAUAACUACUGGAAACGGUAGCUAAUACCGCAUACCAUCGGAUGUGCCCAGAUGGGAUUAGCUAGUAGGUGGGGUAACGGCUCACCUAGGCGACGAUCCCUAGCUGGUCUGAGAGGAUGACCAGGCACAGUGGAACUGAGAGACGGUACAGAUUCCUACGGGAGGAAGCAGUGGGGAAUAUUGCACAAUGGGCGCAAGCCUGAUGCAGCCAUGCCGAGUGUAUGAAGAAGGCCUUCGGGUUGUAAAGUACUUGCAGCGAGGAGGCGUUACUCGCAGAAGAAGCACAGGCUAACUCCGUGCCAGCAGACGCGGUAAUAC